GUGUCGGGCCUCUCCUCCGCGCUGCGGCCUCGUACCCGACAUCCUGAUCCGCCUUCGCCCUUCCCCGCCCCCGCUCCUCUGCGCUGCGGCACCGGCCGCUGAGACCCGCCUCUGCUGCGGCGCCGCGCCUCGGGUGGAUGGAGCGAGAGAGACAGCCAGGCGCCUGUGCCAUCACGUUCGUGGUGGCCUUGUUCCUGUUUCCACCGCUUCCUCGUGCUAGGGCUGCGAGGCCAUAGCACAAGGUCAUGGAGGCCAUGUCGGAAGGAGGUGGCUGAACUUUGUAGUCCAGGUCUUGGCAGCAACACUCGUGGAGAAAGAGGCCAACGUGACUGAAGGGAUCCCCUAAAGCCGAGCUAAGAUGCCCUCUCAUGUUAUUGCACACAUUGAUGCAUACUGUACAAGAACCGCCAAAUAAAAUAAAAUUGUUUGGUUGUUGCUGCAGAUGGUACACUUGUUUGAACUCAAAGUGCAAGAAAGUUGCUACUUUAGGCCUUUGCAGUUUGCACUUAACCUGAGAAGAGCUGCAAUAAAAAUCGCGCCAGAGGACUCCUCAAUACUUCGUUGCCAGUACUGGCGAGUAGAAUGUGAAGGCCAAGAGCAACCUUUGACAUAAAUGCAUAGUACCUAUCUACCUUAAGUGAAUGCUCUUCAGGCUGUCUAUGCAAAUAUGCAGAAGAGUGAGAAAUUUGGCCAGGUCAGGGCAGAUUUGAAGAGGUGGUGUAUUUCUAAAUUGAUGGUUCUGUUUAUCAAGUUAACAAAUCUGGAGGCUCGUCUAUGAUCACUCAGAGAGUGAAAAUGGAUGUGUUAUAACUGCUGUUGGUUGCUGCUGGAAGUGGCAUUUCACAAAAUUUUGCAUUGCAACUGAUUCUGCCCAGCAUGCUGCAGCUGUAGGACAAAGGGUAGACAAAGAAUCAUGGGUAGAUGCAGCAUCAUGCUUAUGAUGCCUUCUCUUUUCGCUGUUUUCUGAAUUGUUGUGUAUUA